rnacentral:misc_RNA from 1 species
CGACCCCUCAAGCUCUGCUUGGUGUUGGACGUCUUGGGCCUUGACCUCGCGUCGGGGCCCACGUCUGAAAAUCGUCGGCGGUGAAACUGGUGUCCACCUCAAGCGAACCAUUGGAGUCUUCGGACUAGCUUGGUGGGUGUGGCGGCAGACCGGCCUCAAAUGACCCCUACAACCUCAA